rnacentral:rRNA from 1 species
CAGCGCAUACUGGUUUCCUUGAGUACGCACAACGUUGGCGGAAUUCGUCGUGUAGCGGUGAAAUGCUUAGAUAUGACGAAGGACUCCGAUUGCGAAGGCAGCUGACGGGAGCGCAACUGACGCUUAAGCUCGAAGGUGCGGGUAUCAAACAGGAUUAGAUACCCUGGUAGUCCGCACAGUAAACGAUGGAUGCCCGCUGUUGGUACCUGGUAUCAGCGGCUAAGCGAAAGCAUUAAGCAUCCCACCUGGGGAGUACGCCGGCAACGGUGAAACUCAAAGGAAUUGACGGGGGCCCGCACAAGCGGAGGAACAUGUGGUUUAAUUCGAUGAUACGCGAGGAACCUUACCCGGGCUUGAAUUGCAGAGGAAGGAUUUAGAGAUAAUGACGCCCUUCGGGGUCUCUGUGAAGGUGCUGCAUGGUUGUCGUCAGCUCGUGCCGUGAGGUGUCGGCUUAAGUGCCAUAACGAGCGCAACCCCUCUCUUCAGUUGCCAUCAGGUAGUGCUGGGCACUCUGGAGACACUGCCACCGUAAGGUGUGAGGAAGGUGGGGAUGACGUCAAAUCAGCACGGCCCUUACGUCCGGGGCUACACACGUGUUACAAUGGCCGGUACAGAGGGAUGGUGUAAUGCAAAUUGCAUCAAAUCUUGAAAGCCGGUCCCAGUUCGGACUGGGGUCUGCAACCCGACCCCACGAAGCUGGAUUCGCUAGUAAUCGCGCAUCAGCCAUGGCGCGGUGAAUACGUUCCCGGGCCUUGUACACACCGCCCGUCAAGCCAUGAAAGCCGGGGGUGCCUGAAGUCCGUGACCGCAAGGAUCGGCCUAGGGCAAAACUGGUGAUUGGGGCUAAGUCGUAACAAGGUAGCCGUACCGGAAGG